UUCUUUUUUUUUCUUUCUUUUAUGUUCAAUGAGACGAUCACAUUAAUCUAAUACGAGAGUAAUCUAAAAAAAUCAAAAUAUAUAAAAUCUUACAAAACUAACAGACAGUCAUCAUCCUAGCUAUCUCUAUAACUAAUUAUCGGAGUAUUCGAUAACAAAAAUCAUCAUCCAAUCUGCUGCAGUAUUCGUCUCUUGAUAGACAUAUCGGACUCGUACUACAGCAGCAUAGUGAAGAUAGAUCCAGACAUUCCGUAUAAGUAGAUGACCCUCCAGUUGUCUAACUUCUAAAUCCAAAAAAAUAACAGUAGUAGAAUCACUCUCCAGAAAAAUUUUCUCCGCAUGAAACUGAUGCUUGAUAAAGAUGACAUCUGUCCAGACGACGUAAAGCUCUACCAUCAGAACCGAAGACUCAAAAAGAUGAGACCCACCAGCC
rnacentral:lncRNA from 1 species